CUGCGAAUGGCUCAUUAAAUCAGUUAUCGUUUAUNUGAUAGUACCUUACUACUUGGAUAACCGUGGUAAUUCUAGAGCUAAUACAUGCUAAAAACCCCGACUUCGGAAGGGGUGUAUUUAUUAGAUAAAAAACCAAUGCCCUUCGGGGCUCCUUGGUGAUUCAUAAUAACUUAACGAAUCGCAUGGCCUUGCGCCGGCGAUGGUUCAUUCAAAUUUCUGCCCUAUCAACUUUCGAUGGUAGGAUAGUGGCCUACCAUGGUAUCAACGGGUAACGGGGAAUUAGGGUUCUAUUCCGGAGAGGGAGCCUGAGAAACGGCUACCACAUCCAAGGAAGGCAGCAGGCGCGCAAAUUACCCAAUCCCGACGCGGGGAGGUAGUGACAAUAAAUACUGAUACAGGGCUCUUUUGGGUCUUGUAAUUGGAAUGAGUACAAUUUAAAUCCCUUAACGAGGAACAAUUGGAGGGCAAGUCUGGUGCCAGCAGCCGCGGUAAUUCCAGCUCCAAUAGCGUAUAUUAAAGUUGUUGCAGUUAAAAAGCUCGUAGUUGAACCUUGGGUCUGGCUGACCGGUCCGCCUCACCGCGUGCACUGGUUCGGCCGGACCUUUCCUUCUGGGGAUCCGCAUGCCCUUCACUGGGCGUGUCGGGGAACCAGGACUUUUACUUUGAAAAAAUUAGAGUGUUCAAAGCAGGCCUUUGCUCGAAUACAUUAGCAUGGAAUAAUAGAAUAGGACGUGCGGUUCUAUUUUGUUGGUUUCUAGGACCGCCGUAAUGAUUAAUAGGGAUAGUCGGGGGUAUCAGUAUUCAAUUGUCAGAGGUGAAAUUCUUGGAUUUAUUGAAGACUAACUACUGCGAAAGCAUUUACCAAGGAUGUUUUCAUUAAUCAGUGAACGAAAGUUAGGGGAUCGAAGACGAUCAGAUACCGUCGUAGUCUUAACCGUAAACGAUGCCGACUAGGGAUCGGGCGAGGUUAUCAUUUUGACUCGCUCGGCACCUUACGAGAAAUCAAAG
rnacentral:rRNA from 1 species